GCCUUCCUGGGAUAGCUCAGUUGGUAAAGCAUGACACUCUUAACUUCAGGGUCGUGGGUUCGAGCCCCACAUUGGGCA